AGCUUCCCCUCAGAAGCUAUAUCCACAGUCUCCCUAGAAAACUUCCCCUGUUUGGAGUUUAAGGAUUUCUUGGCCCAGAAAUCCAGCUCUUGAAGUUCCUCUUAGAUGGCUCACUUCUCAACCCCCUUCGUCUCCUUUCUCAGCAAAAGACUGAUCGGUCUUCUGGAAUUUUCCUCCCACCCUUCUGGCUUCUCCUUCUCCUGCAGAGUGACGCAGGACAACCUCCUUCAGAGCUCCUGCUACUGCCGCCAUUCUGUCACUUUAGGUUCAGAGGCUAUUUCUGUAAGCUGCAUCAGCUGGACCUGGACCAUAUGGCAGAGGCAGCAUCUAUGCUUGAUGAUUCAAUUGACCCGGUGGAUGACGAGAUCGUUUUAAAAGCCCUUUGUAUCCUCACAGGUCAUUUGUCUAUAUCAGAUGCAAAAGGAAGCGCUGCAGCCACCUCAAAUCGCCCUGGAAUGCUCUCCCAAAUGGGCCAGACUCCAUGUUUUGUCAACGAAAAUUGAACAUUACCUGGUAAAGUUCUUCCUAAACCAUGGGUCCAGAUGUCUGCUUGACAAAUGUCCCUUAUGCUUGUUUCAAUUUAAAGAGUGUGGUUAAAAGACCUUGGCAUGAUUUGUUUUUAGUUGGGCAUAUUGGUAGCAUAGAGGGAAGGGGGCAGAAAUUAUAUGGCAAUUUAAAACAUAACAGAUUUUGCUUGGCACUCCUUAGUGGGAAUGUGAAAUCAAAUACGGUAGCAAAGGCAUCUGUCAAGGGCAACUUGCUCUGAUGUCCAAGAGAACCUCCUUAAAAACCUAUAAGUCAUUGAAGUAAGAAAUAAAUGGCAUUUUCAUUCCUUCCACUCCUCAUGUCUUGGGGAUAUAAGAUACAAGGAAUGAGAUCUUGACUUGUAAAUCAUGGUGACCGGCUGUUAAGUCUACGACAAGGCACCUAGGUUAGCCUGCGUGUUCCGCUUAGUUCAUUUCUAGUUUUCUCUCUCCCCACUCUCUCUCACCUCUCAGACUUCUCAACCCCCACAGGCUUGUUAUGCACCUUCAUUUAUCUUGGUAAGGAAGACAUAAUGGAAAAUGGUUAAGGCUUGAAGGAAUUGCAAAGAAAUGGUCAUCUGAAAGAUUAAACAUGG
rnacentral:lncRNA from 1 species